ACAGCAGAGGCACGCCGCUACUUUACUAUCACGUGGUUGUGAAUUUACUUCACAAUUUUUCCAAUCCAGGAAAAAUUAGAGAAAUUCCAUGUGAUGUGACGUAGUGGUAUACUUCUGUGU
rnacentral:pre_miRNA from 1 species